GGUCACCCCAUCCACCGCUGGGCCAAGCCCCAGUGCCCGAAGCAGCAGCAACGAACGCAGCUGGGUUCCGCCUGUUCCCGCCUCGGCAUCCGGAACCCACUCGGGACACACUCUGCGUCUGGCCGUUUGUCUGCUGUGAUAUCGAGAUCCGUCCAAGUGGCACUUAUCAGCCCCGGGUUUAUUUUUGGCUGUCGAGAGCUGUUCCUUCUCUGAACCCAGGCAACUCGCUCUACAGUCUCUGCCAAUGGACAUUUGGGUCAUUUCUCAUUGGGGGACAUCGUGAUCGUGACUGGUAAAGACACGUGAGCACGUCUGCUUCGGGGGUGAUGGCCGGCGAGUGCUCUGUGCAGCGUGACCCUUCCACACCUGGUGAACAGGGGAGGACGGCGCGCGGCUGAACUCUGGCCUUCAGGGUGGGCACUGGGCCAGCCUGCCUCUCCCCUCCCCGUCUCCCUCCCCUCUCUCCUCUACUCCUCGUCUCCUCCUCUCUCUGGCGGCUCCUGCAAGGAUGCCCACAUCAGCCCUGGGUGGAGGGAAGGCCCAGGACAGCACAUGUCAACUGGGGGGUGACCUGAGGAAAACGGUGGGACCUGGGGAGUCUGCCGUGGCCACCGGGGACUUUGGCAGGAAGCGCUUUUCCCUGGCUGCAGUCUCCUGCGUGUCCUUUCUCAGAGCCUCUCCUCCCAGACCACAAGGCCACGCCACAGGGCCCCUGCCCGUCCCGUUCCCCUCUACCCCGGUCCUCCUAGAUGCCUGCUAAGUGAAAGAAUAAGUGACAGAAACCAGGCAUCACAGACUGCGGCGCGGGGGACUAUCUGGUAUAAAAACCGAGACCUGGAGAGGCAGAGCGAUUUCUUCAGCACCAUGGAGAGCGCAGGGUGAGCUCUGAGACCUCACCGUGAAGGGGAACGCAGUGGAUGACCCACCCCACGGCAGGCAGGUUCCACCCUGUGGCUGGGCCCCGUGCUCUGUGAACUGGGACCAGCCACGUGACCUGUGUGGGGGAAGGGCAGGCUCCUGCUCCUCAAGGGCGGAUCCAGGUAGGAGGGAGCAGGGCGUCCCGUGAUGGCAGCCACUGAUCCUUUGAAUUUUAACUUCUGGAGGUCAGAGGUUGGGGAGUGUCAGAUCUUGCAGACUCACUUUCUGGGUCACCCUAGGGCAAGCAGCUUGCCCUGGUGCCACUUUGUCCUGUCCAGAGGCUCUGCAGGAGUGGGGAUCAGCUGAGGGGCCCCUGGCAAGGCGAGCUCCAGGGGAAGUUCCGCUCCAUCCGCUCCAUCCGCAGCAGAUUGUGCAGCUGGCAGCUCAGCGACAGCCUCCAGGUGUGGAGGAGCCGAGGAGGAGGCCACGGGAGAUUGCGGCUGGAGAAGCCCGGGGCCUGAAAGCAAGGAGGCUGCCCCAGAGGCCAGACCUCAGCAAAGCUUGAGAUGGAAGGGGUCUGAGAGUGGCCAAGUGGAAAGCAGUCAGCAACAUCAGAAGACAAGGGAUGCUGAGGACAUCUCUUGAGCUGGACUGUCCAGAUACAGCAGCCCCGUCACAUGCGACUAUUUAUAGUACUUAAAAUUAAAUGACGUUUAAAUUGCUGGUUUCUCAGACAGAGACUUAGCCACAUUUCAAGGGUUCAGCAGCCCCCUGUGACUGGUGUCUGCCUUGGGGACAGAGCAGGUGUAGCUACUUCCCUCCUCACACAGACUUCUGUUGGACAGAACUGGGCCCCACAGGCUGGCUCCUGUUUCCCAGGACAAGCCACACAACACCCGGGGCUGAGUCUCUUCCUCUGCACAUUUGGAAUGAUCAUAUUUGGACGUCCAGCUGUCAGGGGAAAGGCGUGCGAAGGCGAUUGGAAAUGUGGGGCGGUUCUCUGAGGGGGAGGUAACGGGUGCAUUCUUUUUUUCUUUCUUUCUUUUUGGGGGUUGAACCCAGGAUUUUGCAAAUGCAAGGCAGACGCUUUGCCACUGAGCUGCACCCCAGCACCCCAGCCCCAGGAGCGCAUUCUUAUUUAUUCAUUGCUCUGUUUCUCCAAGGUUCAACAACCAAUAGACAUAUUUUUUUAAAAGAAGACAUUCUCUGAACGUAAAGCUCACAUGCUGGCCCGGCUCUUGGGCUCCCCUCUCCUCCUCGGAGACCCGUGAUUAUUGUGCAGGAGAAAUUUGAGGCCAGGUCCAUUGCUUCCCCCUUACAGCUCACAGAAUUUCACCGGGAUGUCCAUCCGCCGAUUUGUUCAACUGCCAAGUUCAUUUACGUGGCCAUGAUUGAACUCUGCGUUGCCGAGUCUCUGUCCCUUUUUUUCUGGGGAACAAUGUACUUUUUCAACCUGCACAUAUUUUAGUUUUAACAAAGUCUUUCCCACUGAAGAUUCCACCUUGUUCUCAGCUGCUUAGUCCUCCGCAGGGACCUCGACCGUGUCGAGGCUUGCUGUCCUUCCUCUCCAGCACCCCUCUCCUCGGCUUCCUCUCCCUGUCGCUCCCUCUGUCACAACCUGGUUAUGGUGUGAGCACGUCCCCAUCCCCUCUCCUCUGAGGGUGGCUGCUUGUCUUUGCUCUCUUUCUGAGCGCUGCGUUCCCGUCCUCCCCUUCCGGGCCCUGCACCUCGCAUUCUGAGAUCUGGUGCUCUAUUUGGGGAUCAGGAGGCCAUCACCUCUCUGAUGUGCUCACAUCCCCUGCUCCUGCGCCUCCUGCUCCAGGCUGACUCUCCCAGCUCUAUUCUCCGCGGGCUUUCGCUGUGCAUCCCUCUGUCUCUUCAUUCUGGGGCCAUCCUGGUGAGGGUCCACACUGGCUGCUCCCUACAGAAUGGGGGCCGCCUUCCAGGCCCAUUUCUUUGUUGGGGGGAAGGUGGGCGGGGCUGCAGGUGUCUACCAUUCGCACAGUGAGUCCUGGACCUUUCUCCCCAGCCGGCCCUGGAGUCUUCUGGGCUGGCAGGCGGGAGCCUUGCUGAGCACAACACCAAGGAGGUCCGGCGUGGUGGCCCCCAGCCUUCCUGUUCCCUUGACUCCUGCAGAGAGAACAUGGGACCCCUGGCCCACGUGUGGCCGCUAUCCGUCCCCUCCUUCCCCGGCCCUCUGACUGCCCACUUCUUGCCAAAGGUCGUUGAGCCUCCGGGAUCAGCACACCCCGCCUGGGCUGUCACAUGUCUCAAGGUCUCUCCUUACCCCAGGCUUUCCAGGAAGAGGGAGGCUGGGGACUGGAAGGGAAGGGGGAAGCCGGUCCUGCCCGGCUGCUGGGCUGCUCCUGGUUCCUCCUGCCCCAGGCCCAACCCCAAGGCCCUGUCUGCUGGACCUCGCGGGUGGACUGUCCCCUGCUUCCCUGGAAGGUGGCCUGUUUUUCUCCUUUUGUCCCUUUGGUGGCUGUUGUCAGGCUGCUGCAGAGACGGCUGGGACAGAGCAGCCUGUUCUGCCACCUUGAGCCCUGAGAGCCUCCCCUGCGGACUUGGCCAUUAGAACCACGGUCCUCUGCUCCCUGGCUCCCGGCAUGCGGGAAGGAGGGGGCGUGGAGACGCCACCCCAGGCCCCCACUCUCUAGUCAGCCAUUCUGGGCUGCUUGGUGAGCUCCCUGCCCUCAGUUUGCCUGAUGUAGACACAUGACAUUGAUGCCCACCUGGGGGACAGAGCUGUUAAUGUAAGACACACCCCCAGGGGUCGGUACGAGGGUACCCCGACAAAUGGCCUGUUGUUCUGCUGCAUUGUUAUGAUCAUAUAUCAACAUUAUUUUAUUAUAAAUAAUACACGUUCAAUUCCUUAA